AUUUCUUCUGCGCAACUUCUCUCUCCAGAACGCUCCUUGUGCGUUCUGCAAUUUUUCCACCAAAGCUCAUCAAAUUCGUUUCAUUUAUCUUCAACUCUGAGUUUUAAACUCUAAUAUGGUAUCAGAGCUUCAACAUUUCGUUGAUUGGGUUGGUUUUGUCUUCAACAAAAUAAGCCCUAGAUUCUCAUGUCUUGUUUCAACUUUCGAUUAUUCGAGAGUCAAUUGUGGAUGCAGUUUCAAGCAAUCUAAGUGUGCUGAAGUUGAAGGAGUUGCUUGCGAAUCCAUUCUUUAUUCAUCCGAUAGUGAGUUCUUUUCUGCUCACUUAAUCGCGAUUAACAGAUUCUCAUUAUGUUGAUUCUUCAGUAAGGUUUAACAAACGGUGUAAUGAUUCGGAAGCAUUACAUCUGUCAUUUACCAAAGAUCAGCAACAACAACCGAUAGUCUUAACUAUUAAUACAGCCGUAGUUUCAGCCCCAUACAUUAAUACCUUGUCAACCAAAUUUCAAUCUGAACCAGGUUCCCUUUUCAGUUGCUUCCAUCUAUGGUCAUCAUUACUUCCUUACUAUUGUUGAUGACAAAAGUAGAUACGUGUGGGUUUUUCCGAUGAAGAUUAAAGCAGAAGCAGGGAAAAUUGUGUCCAACUUUUUCUCUUAUGUUGAGCCACAGUUUCACACAAGAAUAUAAAAUGCAUAAGGACAUAUAACGGCCAAGAAUUUAAGAUGCCUGAAUUCUAUGCAGAAAAAGGUGUUAUGCAUCAAAAAUCUUGUCCAGACACUCCUCAACAAAAUAACAUGGUGAAAAGCAAACACCAACAUAUCAUGAGUGUGGCAAGAUCGUUAAGAUUUUCUACCUAUGAAUUCUGGGUAGAUUGUGUGGUACAUGCUGUGUACUUGAUCAUUCCAUACCCUCUCCAGUCAUCAAUAAUAGUACUCCAUUUGAGCUUUUAAUUAAUGUUACUCCUACAUUCAAACACUUAAAGUGUUUGGAUAUCUUUGUUAUGUAUCGACCAUUGAUAAUCGGAGAUCAAAGUUUGCUCAUUGA